rnacentral:tRNA from 2 species
UAGUGUUCUUAUAGUUGAAGUACAACGAUGGU